rnacentral:rRNA from 1 species
AAUUUAAAAAUUAGUGUCUGCUUGCAGAAACUUGCAUACAGGUGCUGCACGGCUGUCGUCAGCUCGUGUCGUGAGAUGUUGGGUUAAGUCCCGCAACGAGCGCAACCCUCGUCCUUAGUUGCUAACAGUUCGGCUGAGAACUCUAAGGAGACUGCCUACGCAAGUAGGAGGAAGGUGAGGAUGACGUCAAGUCAUCAUGGCCCUUACGUCCAGGGCUACACACGUGCUACAAUGGGGUAUACAAAGAGCAGCAAUACGGUGACGUGGAGCAAAUCUCAUAAAUGCCUCCCAGUUCGGAUUGUAGUCUGCAACUCGACUACAUGAAGUUGGAAUCGCUAGUAAUCGUAGAUCAGCUAUGCUACGGUUGAAUACGAA